CUCCAGAUAACUAUACAGAAAAAGCUAACAACUUGGAACAAGAAAUAAAUAAUUAUGAUGAAAAUAAAAAAAUGAAUAACUGUCAAAACAGUAAAAAUAAUUUGAAUAAAAAAUUAAAGCUAUAUAACCACUUUCCUAAUUUAUCAAAAAAAAGAAUUUACAUGGAAAUAUUUUUACAUAAUCAAAUUAGUUGUUAUGAUUUUUUAUUAGAAAUUCGUAAAAAGUUACCAAUGUGGGGGGAAUACGAAUCAAACUUUUUUUUUCAUUGGAAAAAAAUUAUGAAUGUAACAAUAGAGGAAUUAAAAAUUUAUAAAUUAAUAUUUGGAUCUAUUUAUGUAGAAACAGUAAAAUAUUUGGAUUAUCACAUGUUAAAAAUGAUUAUAGAUGAGUUAGACGAAUUGAGAAAAAUACAUGAUCCAAAUUAUAAACCAUUUAUAUUCACUGAAGCAUGUAUGAACAAUUGUGAUUACGAUACUACUUAUGAAUUAAACAAAAAUACGUAUGUUAAUAUGAACGAAUUUAUUAAACCUGGAAAUGUUCCAAAUUUAAAUAAAACUCUGGACAUAACAAAAUUUUUAAAUUCUUUAAAUAUCUUAGAGAAUCAUAAACAAAAAUCGUAUAUUAUUCAGGCUAUAGAAAUACCCACAGAUAUUUUUAACAUACGAAAAAAUAAAAAUAAAGAUGAAAAUUUAGGACCCACAAAUUUGAAGCUACCUGAAAAUGUACACAUCAUAACAGGAAAUAAUACUUUGGAUCAUGUUCUGGUGAAUGGUAAUUUGAUGGACCAUGCUUUAGUAAAUGGAAAUUCGAUAAGCAUCGGAAUAAAUAAUAAUGAUAUAGAACAUAUAGAAACAACAAAUAAAGAGAAUGAUAUAGUCAACAUGAGUAUUACUAAAAAUAAUAAUUCUUUAAACAAUAAUAAUAUUAAUAUAAACACCGAUAAAACAGAAACAGUAGCAGAUGUAGCUGCACAACAGCAAAUCACAAAUAACGAUUUACAAGAAAAUAAUAACCAAAAAAAAUACAAAAAAUUAUAUACAAAGAAAAAACAAAAUGCAAAAAUAAAAAAUAUAAUCAAAUCUAUAAAUUCAAAAUCAAAAAAAAGAUCAGGUUAUUACGAUCUUGAAAUAGAUGGUGUCGUUGCAUCAUUUGAGGCUCGGAAAGGUGUUUAUUAUGAUAAGUCAAGGAAACUUUGGAGAGCUAAUUGGAAGGAAAAUGGAAAAAUACAAACAAAAGGGUUUUCUGUUAACGAAUAUAAAUCUGUGCAGUUAGCUAGGCAGAAAGCAAUUGAAUGGAGGGAAAAGAAAGAAGUAGAAUUGUUAUUAUAAUGUUAGGAUAUGCUAAGUGAUAUUUUUAUUUUUAUUUUUUUUUUUACAAUUUUUCUUUGCUUCAAAUUUUUCGAUUUCUUUAUAAAACGAAGAAAUAUUAUUUAAAUACAAAAAGUAUAUAUAAUUAAUUUAUUUUUGUUUUAUUUUACAACUUAAUUCUUUACCUAGCUGUUCAACUCUUUAACUAAACCAUUUAACUAUAAUUACUUAGUCAUUUACUCAUUUAGCUAUACAUAAUUUUAAUUACCUUAUUUUUUUUUUCUCCCUCACCCCUUCUCUUCGUUUUCUUCUAAUAUUUAUAUAAGUCUAGUAUAUACAAUUCGGUAUGUUCUCCUCACCACCAACUUAAAAAAAAAAAAAAAAAAAAAAAAAAUACUUUUGAAGUUACGUUUAGCUAAUUUUUUUAUUUUAACUUAAUUGUGAUUCUAUUUUUAUUUCAUCUUUAUUACAUUUUAAUUAUAUGUUUUAUUUAUUUAUUUAUUUUUUGAUAACAAAAAAUACAUUGAUGUGGAAACAUUUAAAAAUAUUAAAAAAGAAUUAAUUUUAUUAAAAAAAAAAAAAAAUGCGUCAAUUUAUGCAUGACAAAAAAAAAAAAAAAAAAAAAAAAAAAACAUGUUAAUUUGAAUACAAAAACAAAUGGGACUGUGAAAUGUGCAAAAUGGAACAAAGUCAAAUUAAAAAAUAUAUGGUGAUGGAAAAGAAGAAAUAAAUGAAGUGAUGUCGUUCGAAAGAGACA
rnacentral:lncRNA from 1 species